AAGCGCGAGUCAUCAGCUCGCGU
rnacentral:rRNA from 1 species